GAUAGUGCAGUGGUUCAAUGAGCAUGAGUCUCCUGGAGAGGGCUAGACGCGCGGGUUCAAUUCCCGCCUGAUUCA